rnacentral:rRNA from 1 species
GACGAACGCUUGCGGCGCGCUUAACACAUGCACGUCGAACGGCAAGUCCUGCUUUCCCUUGUGCCUUGCGGGUCCUCGUUUGUCGAACGCCCGCGUAACACUUGAGCUAUCUGCCCCCAACUUUUCUCUAAGCCUGGGCAACUUGGUCUAAUUCCCGUUACUACUGCAUGGUGGCUGCCGUCUUGGAACACGCUGUUCGAGUGCAUGGCGAUGGGCUCACGGCCUAUGAGCUUGGUGGUGUGGUAAUGGCCGACCAAGCGGGCGCCGGGUAGCCGGCCUGAGAGGGUGGACGGCCAGAUUGGGACUGGGUAACGGCCCAGACUCCUACGGGAGGCAGCGGUGGGGAAUGUUGGAUGAUGGGCGGAAGCCUGACGCAGCGACGCAGCGUGGGCGAUGACGGCCUUCGGGUUGUAGACUCCUUUCGACCGCGAGGAAGCCACCUGGUUGGAAGGGUGGUGACGGUAGUGGUAGAAGAAGCACCGGCUAACUACGUG